CUACUACACAGGGCAGUCACUGCCCAACCCAGAUCUAGUAAGAAAAAUGUGACAAGGUUGCAUGUGCUGCACAUUUGUGAGAGAACUGUCCUUGAAACCUGGUUCAAACAUGAUUCACCCUCAAAGGAGUCAAAGUCCUAGUUCAGGUGAGACGCUCUGAAUAACAGAGAUAAUGAACCUUAAGCCUUCAACCUUCCCAUUUGUUUUUAUGGAGAUAAAUUCAGACUGAGAAAGGUGGAUCCCUGACUUUUGUUCUCUUUAAAACAAGAAUUAAAAUACAUGUGUUGGAAGAAUUUACUGAAGUCACCCAAAGUCAAGCUUUGUUGUCCAGAUAUCCAAAAUCUCUGUAUGGUAUUCACCGCUGAGGAUAACCCGAUCUCAGGAAGACUGAAGGAUACUGCAUGAAGAACAUCCACACCAUGCAAAAUUUUACUGUUUUCCAGGCUGGCUUGUAAUGACUGGUGCCACAGAUGGGUGACACAAUGGUUGGCUCUCACAAGGGAUGAAUAAGAGAAGUUCCAUUGAUAUAUAGUAAUGUUAUUGUGUUUUGUUGUUUAGGCGUCCCCUGUUCUCUCCGUAGUCCCCUUUCCCCCGUAUGGUUGCCAAGGGAUGGCCUUGGUGGUCGGGACAUGUGGCUGGAGGGCGCGAACCUGGGCCCUUCCUUACACGGGGCAGUUGGGAAUGGGGAAGGCUUGUUGCUAGGGGGAGUGGCAUGGCAACACCUGGCCUCCAAUCAAGUUGCAGGAAAGCAGCUUCCACCAAUGGAUGGUGAAGAAGAGUUGAUUGACAGACUUUGGGAGGGGCCAAGGUUGCCUGAGGCAAAUUCAGAGAUACAAAAGGUGGAGCAGCCAUUUUGUGCGUGAGCAUGUGGGGUCUAAUUCCAUGUUCCCAGCUCUGUAAUUUUGCCUUAUUCAGUCCUUUGUUGUAUUUUGUAAAGGUUGAAUAAACCUUUGAAAUUUUUAAAGUGAGCAGUUGUUUCUCACACUGGCUGUGUCUGCGUUGCACAGAGCAAGCACUGUUAUUCUUGCCUCUACGUAGUGCUGACCUGCACGGCUUCUGAUCCUGGAGUAGCUAGAUAGUUUAGGUAUCUGCAUUUUCCUCCCUCAUCUGCUGUAAUUACAUCCACUGCCUAUCUGUACUCACCAUAAUCUUGCUCCCAAAAUGUCAAGGAGAAGGUAGAGUGGAGGAAGGAUAUUCAAGAAAGAUUGGAGGCUAAGGCUGAUCCCUCCCCCCCGCAGCGAGUGUAGCUUUAAGCAAUUUGCUUUAGCAAAUCAGACUUUUUACCAAGUUCUUAGAGAUGGUACAAGGGGCAGUGGUUUUAAAGUGAUAGAUUUAACCUGGACAUAAGGAAUUUUUUACAACUACAAUUGCAAUUUUACAAUUGCAGUGAGACACUGGAACGGGUUGCCCAGAGGAGUUUGUGGGUGGCCCAUCAAUGGAAGUGUUGAAGGUCAGGUUGAACGAGGCUUUGAGCAAAUUGAUAGUGAAAGAUGUCCUCAGGGGGAGUGAACUAGAUGAUUUUUAAAGGUCAUUUCCAACUCUCACUUUCUCAGUUUUUUCUCCUGCCAUUUAUUGCAUUAACUCAAGUUGUAAAUUACUGUGUUGUGAUUCUAGAAGUUGUGAUUCAGAUGAGGGCCAAUAAACUACUUCAGGUCAGACUUCUAUGAUACAAGAUAAAUUUCAGGCAAUUACACUAAAAUUACAGCAAGGGUGUUAUAAUUGAAAAGUCAAAUACUUAAAAACUGUGCCAAAAUUGGAGAUAUUUGUUCUUUUUCAAGUAGAGCUAUAUGACUAUAUUACAAUGGUACUUUUAACUGUGUUUUUGAAUGUUAAACACUUUUCUUUGCUCCACUGAUGAGGCAGUUAAUGAAUGGUAGAUUAAAUGCUGGAUAUUUUGGCUGUGGGACAAGAUGGAUUAAAAAUGUCAGAAAGCAACAAAUGAGAAAACAAGAGAGAAGGGGAGGGGCAUCUCUUUCUCUUCAUUUCACUGGCAGACAGCAAGGGUUAAAGAGGUGUGAGGAAAGGGAAGCUGGAUAAAGAUAGUAUUGGUUUUUCGUGACUUUGUCUAAGACAACUGCGCUGACCCAUCUGAUUAUUCCAUGUGAGUCAGAAAGGUAACAAACCUCAAACAGGAGGCCUUUUACCCCUACUGGAACAAGAGCUUCUCUCCUUCUGUUCCCAUUUUUUUUUUUUUUUUUCUACUUUAGUGAAAUGAUUAAUACAUUCUGUGUUUAUGAUUUUGGCUGAAGCACCUAUUCCUAGAGCAGCUACGCCCUUCCAGCCUAAUGAUGGGCCAUUAACACCCCAUGGCUUGCAUACCCUGCCUUAAAGGUCCUCACAGCUGGACCUCCUCAGUCCCAGCAACUGUCUCCAUCCUCCCACUCAGUGCAUUCAGGAGCCAAGCUCUCCACAUGCCUAUUCCCCUGCAAAGUCAGAAAGGGACCACUAUUCAACAACCCAUGGACCAGGCAUGUAGCUUUAAGCUACAGCCAAAAAUCUGAGUGGGAGGAACACCUGCAGCUGAACAGAAAUGUGUCAGCAAAAGUGUUCAAACAACAAAUUUUUAUUCCCUGAGAGGGCAAACAUAACCCAUAAGUUGUAAGAAGAUGAAGAGGGAGAGAGGUUUGGGGGGGUGUAAGUGAAUAGGAAAUAGAAAAGGGAUCAGGGUAGCAAAUAUGCCCACCUCUCUAAUAUUCCUUAGUAAGAUAGCUUGGUCCACUAAGGACUAAAACCCUCAAAAUGCCAGUGUAGCAAUUCUUACACACCAGGAUUGUUGAGAAGGCUAGAAAGGCCCCAGCAGAUGCCCUGCUGUGCAAAUCCUGCUGACAUGCCUUACUUUCCUGGGUCUAUUUGGAAGCAUAAGGGCUGUUUCUGAGUACAGAGGAUAAAGUGAGCCCCCACCUGGACUACUGUGAACCGUUCAGGUCUUCCCAACCAAAGACAGACAUGGAACUGUUGGAGCAAUUCCAGAGGAGGGCCAUGAAGUUGAUAAGGGGACUGGAGCAUUUUUAUUCCUAAAACAAUCUGGUCAGAUUGGAGAAGAUUGC